AUAAUGGCAUUACUUAACUUGAAGUCACAUUGUUCAAAACACGAUAUCGUGAUAUAGACCAACUUAAUGAUUGUAAUGUAAAUUUACACUUGAUAGAAAUUCGAUAGUUAAGACUGAAACAAUUGUAUAAAUACAAUAAAUCAUAAACUAAAAGUGUUAAGUGCUGGAGGUUAGUGGAUAAGCUGUAAACACAGAUUAAAUCAUUCUUUUACAAUAAAGGAUACCAUUCCUUAUAAUCAAACCCACCACCAUGAAGAUCUGCUUAAUGUGUUAUUGUUUUUGCGUACUGUUCUUGAGCUACAGUGAUGCCAUUAUGAUGGACGACCAACAGCUUGCUUUUAUGCAUCAAUCAACGUUUGAAGAUGGCACAAUUGACAAAAUUACAAUUCCUGUAAAGAGAUGGGGACGCUCAUACGGCUAUCUAUACAAACUACUUAGGAAGAAUGGCUUCCAAGUUAAAAACAAAUUUUCUCUUUAAGUGAUAAAAGGCUAUAAGCCUUCAUUUUCUUGUUGUAAAGAUAGGAAUGAUUAAUUUUGUUCAAUCAGAAGACGACAAAUUAUGGAUUCCUAAACGCCUACACAACAUAGGUCAACUGUCCUGGUAGAGUUAUGUCAUACAUUGUUUGGAGCUUCUGGAUCUUGCUCAAACUAUAGUUCACUGCAUCAGUGUAAAUUAUGUGUUUAAUUAUUGUCACUGAAAGUAUUGAAGAAAAAUAUAUAUGUAGGACUCGAAGGUGUUAUGGUCUGCUCGGAAGUUAGAUGCACUUUUCGAUGGUCUUUAUGAAGCGUGAGGUAUUAUUUAAAAUGUACAGAGAUGCAAUUAUUGUAAACAUAGAUAUUGUUAUUUUUUAGUAUAUACCUUUGAAUUCAUUAUUUUCA